rnacentral:piRNA from 5 species
GUAGCAGAGCAGCUCCCUCGCUGCGAU